UACGGAGGGGGCGAGCGUUGUUCGGAAUUAUUGGGCGUAAAGGGUGCGUAGGCGGUUUGGUAAGUCUUAUGUGAAAUCUACAGGCUCAACUUGUAGUCUCGCAUGAGAAACUGCCGGGCUUGAGUAUGGGAGAGGUGAGUGGAAUUCCUGGUGUAGCGGUGAAAUGCGUAGAUAUCAGGAGGAACACCUGUGGCGAAAGCGGCUCACUGGACCAUAACUGACGCUGAUGCACGAAAGCUAGGGGAGCAAACAGG
rnacentral:rRNA from 1 species